UCGACGUUUGAAUUAAACAAAAAUAUUAAAAAAAAAGAUAAACCGUGAAAAUAUCUCAAAAAUGAUUUAUCUGAUGGAAAAUAAUAGAAUAGCGAGGAAAAUUAUUAAAACCCAUCUGGCAAUGGGGCCGCUUAAAGCACGAAACAAGGGAUACCUAACAUCUGGAUAUAUUGUAAAAAAAUUAAGAAUAUUAUCUUAACAAAAAGAUAAAAGAUGAUGUCACGCUAAAAGUGAUUCUCUCAGCAAAUGGGCUACGGAUUCAAAGUAAACAGGAUGGAUAGGUGUUUUAAAUUUUCAAAAUGUUACUAAAGGUAACCAAGCCAUCAGUGGUAGUUGUCAAGAAUGAGGAA